rnacentral:rRNA from 1 species
AUUUUCUUCGGAACUGAAGAUUUGGUGAUUGAGUGGCGGACGGGUGAGUAACGCGUGGGUAACCUACCCUGUACAGGGGGAUAACAGUUGGAAACGACUGCUAAUACCGCAUAAGCGCACAGGAUUGCAUGAUCCAGUGUGAAAAACUCCGGUGGUAUGAGAUGGACCCGCGUCUGAUUAGCCAGUUGGCGGGGUAACGGCCCACCAAAGCGACGAUCAGUAGCCGACCUGAGAGGGUGACCGGCCACAUUGGGACUGAGACACGGCCCAGACUCC